GGGGGCGAAACGGCUUCGACGGGGGCAAAGAAGCAUUGGUUGCAUGUCGAGGUUUCCUGCUGCUCGUAAAACGCGGGAAAAUAAAUAUAAUCGCAGACGAUUAUAAUUACGCCGUAGCUGCUUAAGGCGGCUGCCGUUCUGCCAGGCCUCUCCUGCGGGCCUGACCAGAGCGUCGACUAAGCGGGAUAGUUGGUCCGGAAAGCCUGGGUCCGGAUUGGCGAAUGUUACAGGCUGGUCUUAGACGGAAUCCUGUCCGGUGGAGCCCGUAAAAGACGAGAUCUAAACACCGGAAUAAGCAUGUAGAUAUCAAUGUGGAAUGUUUUCGGACGCGGGUUCGACUCCCGCCGCCUCCACCA
rnacentral:tmRNA from 1 species